AGCGGAGGAAAAGAAACCAACAGGGAUUGCCUCAGUAACGGCGAGUGAAGCGGCAACAGCUCAAAUUUGAAAUCUGGCGGCCUCUGGGCCGUCCGAGUUGUAAUUUGAAGAGGAUGCUUUUGGCGAGGCGCCUUCCGAGUGCCCUGGAACGGGACGCCACAGAGGGUGAGAGCCCCGUAUGGUUGGACGCCGAGCCUCUGUAAAGCUCCUUCGACGAGUCGAGUAGUUUGGGAAUGCUGCUCAAAAUGGGAGGUAAACCCCUUCUAAAGCUAAAUACUGGCCAGAGACCGAUAGCGCACAAGUAGAGUGAUCGAAAGAUGAAAAGCACUUUGAAAAGAGAGUUAAACAGCACGUGAAAUUGUUGAAAGGGAAGCGCUUGCGACCAGACUUGUGCUCGUCGAAUCAGCCGCCGCUCGUCGGCGGCGCACUUCGGCGGGCUCAGGCCAGCAUCAGUUCGCUGCAGGGGGAGAAAGGCGAUGGGAAUGUGGCUCUUCGGAGUGUUAUAGCCCGCCGCGCAAUACCCCUCGGCGGACUGAGGACCGCGCAUCUGCAAGGAUGCUGGCGUAAUGGUCGUCAGCGACCCGUCUUGA
rnacentral:rRNA from 1 species